CUCGUCUUACCGGAGUGUGAUGUUCUAUCUUGCCGGUGCAGCGUAUAUCCCGCUAGCUGAAUAUCCAUGUCGUCAUUCAGCCACGAUUCCGUGAAACAUAGGAUAUUACAGGAUAUUUCAUGUGGGCAUUCCUGCAUCUGCUGGAACGCCCCCCCCCCCCCCCCCUCGAACAUUCCACUGGUUCCUGUGUGGUGAUACUGAUGGUUUGCCAGGACUGAUGGUUUGUUGACAACUGUAACAUUUUUGCUAAGACUAACCCAGCUACAGACAGAAGUGACUUCACGUAGCAGGUUAGAAAAACUAACGCAGUAGGUUAGGAGAAUUAACAUAGCAGGUUAGAAGAAUGAGGUUAAUGUUAGGAAAAGAGCUAAAAUGCUAUAGGUGUCAACAACUGUUAUUCCUGACAUGACAACUGGAUGGAGAUGUGGGGGAAGUCAGUAGAAAAACCGCAGGUGCAAGAUGGCGGAUGUUUUGUUUGAAACUGUUGGCGCAUCGAGUGGAGAUGAGAGUGAGGAUUGGACUGCAAUGGCGAACAAGAAGGAACAUAAGAGAAGUAAAGUGGUCAUGGAAUCUGGACUUCAGAGGAGGCAUCAAUGGACACAUGCUGAGAAACAGCUUCAGGUAUUGUGCUUUUUAAGUCAUGAUUUUGUUGUGCAUUAAACAAUAAUAUCAGGUCACCCUUUUCCUGGCGUAUAUAGUCUUGUACCCUGUGCUUUAAGUUGAGCAGGUACCUCCAUGCUUCUAUCAGGAUGCAACAGUUUGAUGCAGAUUGUCAGUGUUGAUGGCAGCCUUUGAGCCGAGGCCUCCAGAGCUCCUUGUGUUGAAGACGUCAAACAGCUUGUCUAUGAUCUGUAACAUAACAAGAAAUAUCUUGGUUUGCAUUUCAGAUGUCAUUCCCUGAGAUAGAUGUGUGAGAUAAGAUAUACGAAUGUGAAAUUAUUACCUCACAGAACCUGACUGUAAGCAUGCAAUCUUAAAACUUGUGUUCCUCACACAGGUACAGCAUUUUCAGGGCCUGGGCAACAGAGCGGCUGAGGUUUCCUGUUGUCAAAAAUCGACAUGCCUCCUUGGUUGACAAUGUGAUCACCCCAUCCUCGCUUUUGAGUCAUUUGUAGCAGUGCAGUGAGUUCCUAACAAGCUUGAGCAUGUGGCAUGCAUCUAAAAAAAUAUGUGUCGGCUCGUCAACCCCAGAUGGUGUAAAGGACGUUACGGUGGUCUCUUGGGUCUUAAGGUCGAACUGGCAGCCAAAAAGACGAGACAUUGUUGUGUUCGAUGCAUUCCCAUCCAUGGUCAGCGCCUCCAGAUGUACUGUAUAUUUAUGUAUUUUCAACAACUCUUCAUAUCGUGCUAAGGUAGGUGAGAAGCUAGUACAGUAAACCUGUGUUAUGACAAAUCAUGCCAUUCCUACACUUGUCAGCUAAACCUAUAAUUUCCAUAACUAAAACAUUUCCUUUCCUAAUUUCAUAUUACUGUAUGUCCUAUGCUCCACAAUGUCAGCACCCUGCUGAAAUAGCUCUCCACAGAUCAUCAUUUUUGUAUGUGUACAGUAGAGUGUGUCUAUGGAGUGCUUACAGGGUAUGCAUUUCCUGUGGAAGUUGAUGGUAUGGGAGUUGGAAUAGGGUUUUGCAGGUCAAGGGUAGGAUCUUGCAAGUCGAACAAAACAAACAAAAAGAGACCUAUAAGCAGUUGUUACAACAACAAUAAAAUAGUUUCAAGUGUUUUGUCCAAAUACUCGUGGAUUCUACUAAUAAAUGAAUGAACGACCUGACCAGAGAGGUCCAGGACCUGAAGAACAGUUUGCAGUUCUCCCAGGGGCAGGUCAACGAGUUGAAACAGGAGAACGGCAAGAUGACAGUAAUCUGUAAGUCAUUGAGAGAGGACAUCAAUUCUGUGUGUGAAUCCAUGAUAACAAUGACAGAUUAAUCAGACUAUCUCGAGGGACAAUCAAGGUGAAACAACAUGGUUGUGGACGGAAUUGCAGGAUCUCCGCAUGAGACCUGGAUGGAGUCUGAGGACAAAGUGAGGGAAAUGAUCUCUGAGAAAUUGAAGUUGGACCACAGGAAGAUUGAGGUGGAGUGGCCCACAGGCUUGAAAACCCCACCAUCGGCACAGGUGACAGGCCCAGGCCGAUAGUGGUCAAGUUCUAUUGAUUAAUGGACUGCUGAAUGUAUAUAUUUUUUCUCUUUCUUUGUCUGCUCUUUUCAAUAUUAUGUCUAGCUCUGAUAAGCUACCCAGGAAAGGGCUGAAAAUAGCCCAUAUUAAUGUAUGUAGCCUUAGAAAUAAGGUUCACGAAAUCAAUAACUUGCUAACAUCAGAUAGAAUUCAUAUAUUAGCCAUUUCUGAGACUCGCUUAGAUAAUUCAUUUGAUGAUACAUCAGUAGCAAUACAAGGAUAUAGCAUUUAUAGUUGAGACAGAAAUGCUUAUGGGGGAGGUGUGGCUGUACAUAUUCAGAACCAUAUCCCUGUAAUGCUUAGAGAAGAUCUUAUAUCAAGUGUUAUUGAAGUGUUGUGGUUGCAGGUUCACUUGGCACAUCUAAAGCCUUUUCUUUUGGGGUGUUGCUAUAGGCCACCAAGUGCUAACAGUCAGAAUCUAAAUAAUAUGUGUGAAAUGCUUUAUAGUGUAUGUGAUGUAAACAGAGAGGUUUACUUUCUUGGGGACCUGAAUAUUGACUGGUUUUCAUCAAGCUGCCCGCUCAAGUGGAAGCUUCUCACUGUAACCAGUGCCUGUAAUCUGGUUCAGGUUAUUAAUCAACCUACCAGGGUGUUUACAAACGCUACAGGAACAAGAUCCACAUGUAUUGAUCACAUUUUUACUAAUGCUGUCAAACUUUGUUCUAAAGCUAUAUCCAUACCCAUUGGAUGCAGUGAUCAAAAUAUAGUGGCUAUAUCCAGGAAAGCCAAAGUUCCAACAGCUGGGCCUAAAAUAGUGUAUAAGAGAUCAUACAAAACAUUUUGCUGUGACUCUUAUGUGGAUGAUGUUAAAAAUAUUUGUUGGUCUGAUGUGAUUAAUGAGGAGCAUCCAGAUGCUGCACUUGAUGAAUUUAUGAAAUUGCUUUUUCCUAUUAUUGAUAAACAUGCACCUGUUAAGAAACUGACUGCUAGAACUGUUAAGGCUCCAUGGAUUGAUGAGGAAUUGAAAAACUGUAUGGUUGAAAGAGAUGGGGCAAAAGGAAUGGCUAAUAAGUCUGGCUGCACAUCUGACUGUCUGACUUACUGCAAAUUGAGAAAUGAUGUGACUAAACUCAACAAAAAGAAGAAGAAACUGUAUUAUGAAGGCAAGAUAAAUGACAAAGAAUGACGGAAAAAAACUUUGGAGUACUUUAAAUGAAAUUAUGGGCAGAAAGACAAAUUCAACUCCAUCUUUCAUCGAAUCAGAUAGCUUAUUCAUCACAAAAUCAUUUGAUUUUGCUAAUUAUUUUAAUGAUUAUUCCAUUGGCAAAGUGGGCACACUUAGGCAGGAAAUGCCCAUGACAAACAGUGAGCAAUUAUAUUAAUAUAUAAAAAAACAAAUAAUGAAAGAAAAGCAGUGCAAGUUUGAAUUUUGUAACGUUAGUGUGGGAGAGGUGGAAAAAUGAUUGUUAACAAUCAAUAAUGACAAACCUCCUGGCAUUGACAACUUAGAUGGAAAGCUACUGAGGAUGGUAGCUGACUCCAUAGCCCCUCCUAUCUGUCAUAUCUUUAAUCUGACCCUAGAUGUCCUCCGGCCAGGAGGGAAGCCAAGGUAAUUCCGCUACCCAAGAGUGGUAAAGCAGCCUUUACUGGUUCUAACAGCAGACCGAUCAGCUUGCUGCCAGCUCUUAGCAAACUGUUGGAAAAAAUGGUGUUUGACCAAAUACAAUGCUAUUUCUCUGUAAACAAAUUAACAACAGACUUUCAGGAUGCUUAUAGAGAAGGGCACUCAACAUGUACUGCACUGACACAAAUAACUGAUGAUUGGUUGAAAUAAAUUGAUAAUAAGAAGAUUGUGGGAGCUGUACUGUUAGAUUUCAGUGCAGCCUUUGAUAUUAAUGACCAUAUCCUGUUGUUGAAAAAACAGUGCUAUGGCUUUUCAACCUCUGCCAUAUCGUAGAUUCAGAGCUAUCUAUCUAAUAGUUUCAUGCAUGUUAACAUCAGAAGCCUCCUCCCUAAGUUUGUUUUACUCACUGCUUUAGCACACUCCGCCAACCCUGAUGUCUUUGCCGUGUCUGAAUCCUGGUUUAGGAAGGCCACCAAAAAUUCUGAGAUUUCCAUACCCAACUACAACAUUUUUUGUGAAGAUAGAACUGCCAAAGGGGGAGGAGUUGCAAUCUACUGCAGAGAUAGCCUGCAAAGUUCUGUCAUACUUUCCAGGUCUAUACCCAAACAGUUCGAACUUCUAAUUUUAAAAAUGAAUCUCUCCAGAAAUAAGUCUCUCACUGUUGCCGCCUGUUAUAAACCCCCCUCAGCUCCCAGCUCUGCCCUGGACACGAUAUGUGAAUUGAUUGCCCCCCCAUCAAUCUUCAGAGUUCGUUCUGUUAGGUGACCUAAACUGGGAUAUGCUUAACACCCCAGCAGUCCUACAAUCUAAGCUAGAUGCCCUCAAUCUCACACAAAUUAUCAAGGAAACCACCAGGUACAACCCUAAACCCGUAAACAUGGGCACCCUCAUAGAUAUUAUCCUGACCAACUUGCCCUCCAAAUACACCUCUGCUGUUUUCAAUCAGGAUCUCAGCGAUCACUGCCUCAUUGCCUGCAUCCGCUAUGGGUCCGCGGUCAAACGCUCCCUAAAACACUUCUGCGAGCAAAACAGAUAAAGCAACACCUCGCGGCACAACGCCUCUCGCCUUUUUGAACUAGAUAGUUUGUGUGUAUGCAUUGAUAUGUAGGCUACGUGUGCCUUUUUUAAAACUGUAUGUAGUUCUGUCCUUGAACUGUUCUUGUCUAAUGAUGUACUGUGUUAUGUCAUUCUGUGUAACAUUUGAAGCCGGAAGUUAACAUACGCUUAGGUUGGAGUUAUUAAAACUCAUUUUUCAACCACUCCACAAAUUUCUUGUUAACAAUCUAUAGUUUUGGAAAGUCAGUUAAGACAUCGACUUUGUGCAUAACACAAGCAAUUUUUCCAACAAUUGUUUACAGACAGAUUAUUUCACUUAUAAUUCACUGUAUCAUAAUUCCAGUGGGUCAGAAGUUUACAUACACUAAGUUGACUGUGCCUUUAAACAGCUUGGAAAAUUUCUGAAAAUUAUGUCAUGGCUUUAGAAGCUUCUGAUAGGCUAAUUGACAAAAUGUGAGUCAAUUGGAGGUGUACCUAUGGAUGUAUUUCAAGCCCUACCUUCAAACUCAGUGCCUCUUUGCUUGACAUUAUGGGAAAAUCAAUAGAAAUCAGCAAAGACCUCGACAAAAAAUUGUUGACCUCCACAAGUCUGGUUCAUCCUUGGGAGCAAUUUCCAAACGCCUGAAGGUACCACGUUCAUCCAUACAAACAAUAGUACGCAAGUAUAAACACCAUGGGACCACGCAGCCAUCAUACCGCUCAGGAAGGAGACGCGUUCUGUCUCCUAGAGAUGAACGUACUUUGGUGCGAAUGGUGCAAAUCAAUCCCAGAACAACAGCAAAGGACCUUGUGAAGAUGCUGGAGGAAACAGGUACAAAAGUAUCUAUAUCCACAGUAAAACGAGUCCUAUAUCGACAUAACCUGAGAGGCCGCUCAGCAAGGAAGAAGCCACUGCUCCAAAACCACCAUUAAAAAAGCCAGACUACGGUUUGGAACUGCACAUGUAAUAGUACUCUUCUUGCGUUGUGUACAAUCAAUCAUCGACACGAACUCCAACUUGUAACACCAGUCAUGGAGAUUUAUUCUGAUAGGAACAGCACAAAAUUGCACGUCAUGCACGGCUCACCAUCCAACUCUGCACUCACGCACGCUGGUUUGGUGCUUGUUCACUGGGCAAUGUAGUUACCAAAAUAAUACAAUUACAAUAUACAAUAUAAUAUCUUUAACAAGGUACCUGAUAGGAACAGCACAAAAUUGCACGUCAUGCAAUGCACGGCUCACCAUCCAACUCUGCACUCACGCACUGUACAAAAUAUAAAACCCCCCCACCAGACACAGUAAGUUGCUAGCUAGUAUUAGCUGGAAUUCUCUACAACAAAAUGCACAACCAAUAUUCACCAAAAACCGCUGCAUCUUAUGUGUGAUGUUCGAAUAACAUUUCCAAACAAAUUGAUAUAAAUUGUACAUUUAAAUUAUCACUUGGGAGUAUAAAAAUCACUUUUGACGUACAGUGCUUUGCAACCAACAACUUACCGCUGGUUUGGUGCUUGUUCACUGGGAAGAUUCUAACUGAAACAUCCUCCCUCGUAAGCAAGCUACGCAAACCAGUCAAUAAGUGUCACGUCCUGACCACUAAUAGGGGUUAUUUGUUAUUAUAGUUUGGUCAGGAUGUGGCAGGGGGUGUUUGUUUCAUGUUGUUUGGGCUAUGUAUUUAGGUAGAGGGGUGUUUGGUUUAUGUGGUCCGGGGUUUGUUAGUCUAUGUUCUAUGUUAGUAUUUUUCUAUGUUCUAUCUAGUCUAUUGUAGUUCUUUGUUUAGUUAAUUGUGGUUGGACCUUCAAUUGGAGGCAGCUGGUUAUUGUUGCCUCUGAUUGAGGGUCCUAUAAUUAGGAGUUUGUUUUCAUGUUUUUUUUGUGGGAGAUUGUGCUGUGUAUAGCUUUGUGCCUUACCGGCCUGUUAGUCGUCGUUGUGUUUUGUAUACGUUUUGUUUUUUUUCCUUCUUUGUCAGUAAUAAAGAAGAUGAGUGUACAUAUUCCUGCUGCGUUUUGGUCUUUACCCUACGACAACCGUGACAAUAAGAUGCCAUGUCGAGUAGGUGAAGGCAAGACAAAAAUAAAACCAAAACCCCAUUGGCUUAACAAUAAAGUGGUAAGGGGAAUCACCAAUAUAACCCUGUUACACACAUGGGGACAAAUAUCAUUCUUUUUGGAGAAAUGUCCUCUGGUCUGAUGAAACAAAAAUAGAACUGUUUGGCCUUAAUGACCAUCAUUAUGUUUGGAGGAAAAAGGGGGAGGCUUGCAAGCCGAAGAACACCAUCCCAACCUUGAAGCACAGGGGUGGCAGCAUCAUGUUGUGGGGGUGCUUUGUGUGGCUAUAUUGAAGGAACAUCUCAAGACAUCAGUCAGGAAGUUAAAGCUUGGUCGCAAAUGUGUCUUCCAAAUGGACAAUGACCCCAAGCAAACUUCCAAACUUAUUGUGGGAAGCUUGUGGAAGGCUACCUGAAAUGUUUGACCCAAGUUCAACAAUUUAAAGGCAAUGCUACCAAAUACUAUUUGAGUGUAUGUAAACUUCUGACCCACUGGGAAUGUAAUGAAAGAAAUAAAAGCUGAAAUAAAUAAUUCUCUCUACUAUUAUUCUGACAUUUCACAUUCUUAAAAUAAAUUUGUGGUCCUAACUGACCUAAGACAUGGAAUUUUUACUAGGAUUAAAUGUCAGGAGUUGUGAAAAACUGAGUUUAAAUGUAUUUGGCUAAGGUGUAUGUAAACUUCUGACUUCAACUGUAUGUUUCAUGUUUUGUGUGGAUCCCAGGAAGAGUAGCUGCUGCUUUUGCAACAGCUAAUGGUGAUCCUAAUAAAAUACCAAAUAAGUAGUGACACUGCCUUGGAAUAUAAGUCAAAGCUGUUCUCCAUUUCUCAUUACAGGUGGGAUCCUUUGGGAACCUAAAACAUCUUUCAUAAUAGACACAUUUAAUUUGAAUGCGCCUUCAGUUUUGAUUAGGAAUGUAUGUGUUACUCAUAUAAAUAGAAUUUUGUUGCGUUUCUUCAUCCUUUAUUAUUACUAUCCUCAUGAAG
rnacentral:lncRNA from 1 species